AGACAGCCCGUGACCAAAUUCUGAGAACUCCAACCAUUCACUGGUUGAGUGGAAGAGAACAAGCUCAGAAAAUAAAUGGAGAAAACAUGGUAGGAGGAGCAGAAGAAAAAUGAGGAGAAUGCUGUCUCAUGGAAGACAAGGGAAUUGGUGCACAUGGUAUGGACCCCAGCAAGUCCCCCUCUGCAGGUCAGGUGGGGAUCCAGGGAAGAUGCUGGAGACCAUGUUACAGCUCCAAUCCAAAGGGACUCUGAAGCUAGCAAAGCUUGGAGAAGCCUGAACAAGCUGGUCACCCUCACUGUCAAAGACUUUCAUUUCCACGGAAGGGAAACUGAUGACCUGGGACCAUUGGAAGAACUAUAUGGAUGAAGCAGUUCUAAGGACUGCAAAGCUGCGCAGCGGGAACCAACUCCCUACUGCAGUUAUCAUUCGCCUUUAAAGUCUCCGUGUCAAGACACACAGAAAGUGUCUACACCAAAUGGACAAACGUUCCAGGGGGUUUCCUUCCCAACUGCUUAUUAAGAAAUCCAUCCUCUUCACAUCAGUGGGACUUCAUUCUACUCAAAUUCCAUCAAUUCCCAAUAGCUCCAACACGAGGACAAACCCUAGGAGAUGAGGGUGCCAUCUCAAGUCUCUUAUUUUGGUUAUUUAACUGAAUAAGAAAAUGUGUAUAACUGC
rnacentral:lncRNA from 1 species